GACGGAGGGUGCUAGCGUUGUUCGGAAUCACUGGGCGUAAAGGGCGCGUAGGCGGCCUUGCAAGUCGGUUGGUGAAAGCCCGGGGCUCAACCCCGGAGGUGCGGCCGAGACUGCAGGGCUGGAGGCCGGAAGAGGAGGGUGGAAUACCCAGUGUAGAGGUGAAAUUCGUAGAUAUCGGGAGGAACACCAGUGGCGAAGGCGGCUCUCUGGGCAGAUACUGACACUGAGACGCGAAAGCGUGGGUAGCAAACAGG
rnacentral:rRNA from 1 species